UACGGGGGGAGCAAGCGUUGUUCGGAUUUACUGGGCGUAAAGGGCGCGUAGGCGGCCUGUGCAAGUCAGUUGUGAAAUCUCCGAGCUUAACUCGGAGCGGUCAACUGAUACUGCUCGGCUAGAGUGCGGAAGGGGCAACUGGAAUUCUUGGUGUAGCGGUGAAAUGCGUAGAUAUCAAGAGGAACACCAGUAGCGAAGGCGGCUCGCUGGGCCGUUCCUGACGCUGAGACGCGAAAGCUAGGGGAGCGAACAGG
rnacentral:rRNA from 1 species